GAGUUUGAUCAUGGCUCAGGAUGAACGCUGGCGGCGUGCUUAACACAUGCAAGUCGAACGAACCUUCGGGUUAGUGGCGGACGGGUGAGUAACGCGUGAGAAUCUGCCCUCAGGAGGGGGAUAACGGUUGGAAACGACCGCUAAUACCCCAUAUGCCGCGAGGUGAAAUGAAUUUCGCCUGAGGAUGAGCUCGCGUCUGAUUAGCUAGUUGGUGGGGUAAAGGCCUACCAAGGCAUCGAUCAGUAGCUGGUCUGAGAGGAUGAUCAGCCACACUGGGACUGAGACACGGCCCAGACUCCUACGGGAGGCAGCAGUGGGGAAUUUUCCGCAAUGGGCGAAAGCCUGACGGAGCAACGCCGCGUGAGGGAUGAAGGCCUCUGGGCUGUAAACCUCUUUUAUCAAGGAAGAAGAUCUGACGGUACUUGAUGAAUAAGCCACGGCUAAUUCCGUGCCAGCAGCCGCGGUAAUACGGGAGUGGCAAGCGUUAUCCGGAAUUAUUGGGCGUAAAGCGUCCGCAGGCGACCCUUCAAGUCUGCUGUUAAAAAGUGGAGCUUAACUCCAUCAUGGCAGUGGAAACUGUUGGGCUUGAGUGUGGUAGGGGCAGAGGGAAUUCCCGGUGUAGCGGUGAAAUGCGUAGAUAUCGGGAAGAACACCAGUGGCGAAGGCGCUCUGCUGGGCCAUCACUGACGCUCAUGGACGAAAGCCAGGGGAGCGAAAGGGAUUAGAUACCCCUGUAGUCCUGGCCGUAAACGAUGAACACUAGGUGUCGGGGGAAUCGACCCCCUCGGUGUCGUAGCCAACGCGUUAAGUGUUCCGCCUGGGGAGUACGCACGCAAGUGUGAAACUCAAAGGAAUUGACGGGGGCCCGCACAGGCGGUGGAGUAUGUGGUUUAAUUCGAUGCAACGCGAAGAACCUUACCAGGGUUUGACAUCCUGCGAAUCUCUUGGAAACGAGAGAGUGCCUUCGGGAACGCAGUGACAGGUGGUGCAUGGCUGUCGUCAGCUCGUGUCGUGAGAUGUUGGGUUAAGUCCCGCAGCGAGCGCAACCCACGUCUUUAGUUGCCAGCAUUUAGUUGGGCACUCUAGAGAGACCGCCGGUGAUAAACCGGAGGAAGGUGUGGAUGACGUCAAGUCAUCAUGCCCCUUACAUCCUAGGCUACACACGUACUACAAUGCUACGGACAAAGGGCAGCAAGUUCGCGAGGACAAGCAAAUCCCAUAAACCGUGGCUCAGUUCAGAUCGUAGGCUGCAACUCGCCUACGUGAAGGAGGAAUCGCUAGUAAUCGCAGGUCAGCAUACUGCGGUGAAUACGU
rnacentral:rRNA from 1 species